GGAGUGAAGCAGGGCAGAGUGGAGAGGGAGAGCAGCUGCAGAGUGGGGGUGGGCAUCAGCCGGAAGAGCCUCCCCGUCCUGGCCUGGCCACACCUCUGGCACUGCAACCUGGAGGCCAGCCUCACCUCCCAGUCCUGACCUGCCUGCCCCUGACAGUCCAGACCUACUGUGCAUGUCGCUGGGCUGCUGAGAAGCAUCUUGGGGUAUUUAGGCAAACUGUGCCCUGCCAGACCUUUUAGGUGUACAUGGGGCAUUUUCUUCCACCCCCCUCUCCUUUUCUUUCUCUCUCUUUUUGGUGAGCUCCUCUUCCCCUAGAAUCUAUAGAAAAGAAACCUUGAACUCGAAGCCUGACCUGCUUCCUUGCUUUGGUCUGCUGCCUUCCCUCUUCCCUUCAGCUCUGGGCUUUGUGCAGGGAGACAGUGACCCCAUGAACGUGCGUUUCCUGCCUGACAUCCUCUGUCCUAUUGGGAAGUCACUCCCACUCAUUGGAAGUCACUUAGCCCUAUUCCCUCUUCUUGGGCCCCCCGCAGGGCUCAAGAUAUUUCUCUGACAAGGCUGCUGAGUGAAUUGAUAAGUGAUUUGGAAACAGACAAGGCUAGGUGGCAAGGAAAAACACUACUCUCCCAUCUGUCACCCUCUUCCUAAAAGGGAGCUUAAGACCUGCCUUCUCAAGGUCUCCGCCCCCUGCUUUAUCUUGCUGUCUGGAAGACAGAUGCUACCUCUUGGGCCUUGAGGACAAGACUCCACCUCUGGGAGCAACAAGAUAGAAGGAGCCUGGGCUCCUGUCACUGUGGAGCAACUGUGAUGCUUGGGUCACUUCCCUGGAUUUGUAGAAGCCACUGCCAUUUUUUUUGGCUUGUUUGUUGAUCAUUCCAAGCUAACUCCUAACAAAUAGAAUGAAAUCUCACAGGAGCCUGUGUAGAUGGCUUCUAAACCAGACCAACUGACAUAGGACCCUGGAAGAGCUUCUCUCUGGUUGCCCACCCCUUUGCUCCCAUCUCUCAAGCUGCUGUGGCUAGUGGCCAAGACAAACUUUUCUUCUCAAAGGUCAGUUCUUGGUCGAGUUUAGUCAUUAAAAUUAAAAUAUACAUUGGACCAACCCUCUAAUCAUCAGUCUGGCACCGAUGUUUGUAGAGUCAAUAAAUAUGCUGCCAUACAUUUAUUUCCUGUUCUCCCUCUCUUGGGUCACUUCUCUGGAUUUGUAGAUGUCACUGCCAUUUUGUUUUUUUUUUGUUUUUUUGUUUUUGUUUGCAAGGGUGGAGGUUGUAUGCUGAUUACCGCAAGCUAACUCCUAACAAAUAAAGUGCAAUCUCACAGGAACUCGUGUAGAUUGCUUCUAACCCAGGACAACUUACAUGGGACCCUGGGAGAGUGCUCUUUCACUAUUUCCCAGUAUGUGGUUUCUUC
rnacentral:lncRNA from 1 species